UAGUUGUAUUCUUGUAUUGAAACACUCCAAUGAUGGAUGAGUUACAAGGCUCCGAAAACAGUGGCUGCGGAUAACUAUAUACAUGGCACAGGGGUUCUUCUUUUCUCUCCUCGAUCCUCUUCACCACCUGGGAAAGGGGUCAUCUUCCAUUCCUCACCAUCCUUUUCAUGGUGUGCAAGAAACUUUCAAAUUUAAAGGCACUGCAGUUGUCCAAACCAUCAAACAAAACGGCAUCUGCAGUUAUGUGGAGCAUUGUGUGCGUAUUGUACACAAAAAAACGUCUUGCCAUAAAGCUACCGUCUUUUCACAACAAAGUACUGCCGUAGUUGUUGAGCGUAUUGUGAAUACUACUUGAGAGUCGUAGAGCUCACUAAAAUGCACUUUGCCACACUGAAGGACAAGAAGUGGAGGUACAGGUCAUCCCUCAGGAUUCCCCUCAGCACCACCUUACCGGUGUACAGCAUAAACUGCCGGAAUUCCGUGGCUUUCCACCUUUCCAGCUCUUCAAGACCUUGUAGUUUGUGGGAGAAGAUGGACGGAAUUUUAGGUUUAAGGUGAAGAAGCCUGCUGCUCACCUCCUGUAUUUGUGUCACAGACAUUCUACAACCUUUCUCUCCUCUGCUCCAGAUGAGGAGAAGCUUUUUCAUGACACCCAAGCAUGCCUCAUGCAUGUAGUCAAUGGGGAAGGCUUUUACCAUGUCGAUGGCAAAUUGAGCAGGGGAGUGUUGCCAUGAUGGUGAUCUUCUUGGGUUUGAUGUCUGAAUGCUUAGUCUCUUCGCAGGGCCACUAGAUAGUAGAUCAUUGAGGUCUGCCACCAUGUCAUCUAAAAAGUGCUGGUUGGUUGGCCGCUUGUUUCCGCACGUCAGUGUGAUUGGGAAAACAGUGAUGGGCUUGAGGUGGACCGCACAUAGGACAGGCCACAUAGCUUUCCCUGAGCUCUUGAACAGCGGCAAUCCAUCAAUGUUGAAGGACAGAUUAACUGUGUCGCAGUCAGACAGCUGUUCAAAUGGCAGGGUACGAGCGGAGGAUGGGAGAUCCGAGUGGCCAUGAUUCUGAAGAAUCUUCAACAACUGAUCAACGGCAUUGUUCUUCACCUGACAGUCAGUGGGUACCUCCCCAUCAUCCUCAAACGCUACCUCCCUGUCGUCUUCAUAGGCUUCUCCCCUAUCAUCGUCCAAGGCUACCUCCAUGUCAUCCUGCAAGUAUUUCUCCAACUCUAAUGAUGCUGUAAUGGACUGUGGGGAUUACAUGUUUUCAGUGUCGUCCACGUGUUUGUCCAUGUGGCUGUCAUCAAUCAGAUGCUCUGUGUCUACCUUUUUGAGCACACGUUUAGCUGAUCGGAGGUAUUGCCUUGAUCUUUCUUGUUUCUCAUCACUCAUUCUGUUGAGAAAUUUGUAGACUAUUUACUAUUUAACAACAAUUGUUGUGUUUUAGAUUGUAUCACACUUUGGGCCGCAAAGAUUAACUUCUUAUUUCACUGGUUGCGCAAUAAAUGUAAACAUAAAUGUACAUGAAACAAAAUAGCUGGCUUGCAGUGUCAUGAGACCUAAAGUAGCAAGCAAGCUUGUUCAGGGAAAUGUAAUUGUUGCUUGGCAACAGUACAGUUGGGAAACUGUAUGUGUUGGCAGAGACAAAUAAUUUAUUAAAUAUGCAGUAAAUAAUUUACAAUUAUUUACGGCACUCUUUAAAGAAGUUCCGGCCACUUGGCGUCAAACCCAAGC